rnacentral:rRNA from 1 species
AGGUAGUAAAAAUUUUUUUAAAAACCUAUUUUUAAUGGCGGCAUUUCAUCUUAUUAGAGGAACCUGUAUUUUAAUCGACAGCCCACGAUAAUUUUCACUUUAAUUAAAAAUUUAUAUACCGCCAUUAAAAGAAUUAAUUUAAUUAUAUUAUUCUUAAUAAAAAAUAAAAAAUUAGGUCAAGGUGUAAUUCAUAUUAAAGCAAAUAAUGGGUUACAUUAAAAAUUAUUUAAGGAAUAAAUUAUUAAAAACUUUUAAGAAAAAGGAUUUAAAAGUAAUAUUAAAAUAAUAUUUUAUUAUUAAUAAGAUAAUAAAUGUGC